rnacentral:rRNA from 1 species
CCUACGGGAGGCAGCAGUGAGGAAUAUUGGUCAAUGGGCGUAAGCCUGAACCAGCCAAGUCGCGUGAGGGAUGAAGGCUCUAUGGAUCGUAAACCUCUUUUAUAAGGGAAUAAAGUGCGGGACGUGUCCCGUUUUGUAUGUACCUUAUGAAUAAGGAUCGGCUAACUCCGUGCCAGCAGCCGCGGUAAUACGGAGGAUCCGAGCGUUAUCCGGAUUUAUUGGGUUUAAAGGGUGCGUAGGCGGCCUUUUAAGUCAGCGGGGAAAGUUUGGGGCUCAACCAUAGAAUUGCGGUUGAAACUGGGAGGCUUGAGUAUGUUUGAGGCAGGCGGAAUGCGUGGUGUAGCGGUGAAAUGCUUAGAUAUCACGCAGAACCCCGAUUGCGAAGGCAGCCUGCCAAGCCAUGACUGACGCUGAUGCACGAAAGCGUGGGGAUCAAACAGGAUUAGAUACCCCAGUAGUC